rnacentral:lncRNA from 1 species
AAUACAAAAAGUCACUAAAAUGGCUACCUACUCAUCAGUGACUUACUCAAAGUUACAAUGGUGUAGAUGUUCUUUGACUUGCGGUGCCUCGACUGUUCAUAGUGAGAUUACUGUAGUUUGACUGCACAAUCACUUAGUUAUCUAGUCAUUUGAAAUAUUAUGAUAUAUGUUAGCUAUAGUAGAUCUAUUGUAGGAAUAGGAUGUGUACAUAGAUGGAAUCUAUCAAUCCUGAU